AUGUACAUUCCUACAAAAUAGUGUUAAUGUACCGGAUCCCAUUAGAACUUCGUAUUUAUGCGCACUCGGGAUAGUGUAGUACUGGGGUGGGUGACCUCUUGGGAAGUCCUAGUAUUUUACAUG
rnacentral:rRNA from 1 species